AUUGAACGCUGGCGGCAUGCUUUACACAUGCAAGUCGAACGGUAACAGGCCGCAAGGUGCUGACGAGUGGCGAACGGGUGAGUAAUGCAUCGGAACGUGCCCAGUCGUGGGGGAUAACGCAGCGAAAGCUGUGCUAAUACCGCAUACGAUCUAUGGAUGAAAGCGGGGGACCGUAAGGCCUCGCGCGAUUGGAGCGGCCGAUGUCAGAUUAGCUAGUUGGUGGGGUAAAGGCCCACCAAGGCGACGAUCUGUAGCUGGUCUGAGAGGACGACCAGCCACACUGGGACUGAGACACGGCCCAGACUCCUACGGGAGGCAGCAGUGGGGAAUUUUGGACAAUGGGCGCAAGCCUGAUCCAGCAAUGCCGCGUGCAGGAAGAAGGCCUUCGGGUUGUAAACUGCUUUUGUACGGAACGAAACGGCCUGGGUUAAUACCCUGGGCUAAUGACGGUACCGUAAGAAUAAGCACCGGCUAACUACGUGCCAGCCGCCGCGGUAA
rnacentral:rRNA from 1 species